rnacentral:tRNA from 1 species
GCCCCCGUAGCCCAAUUGGACGGGCGGCAGCCUUCUAAGCCGUGUGAUGCAGGUUCGAGUCCUGUCGGGGGCGCCA